CGAGCUAUAACCAAUCCAGCCAUUCUGUAGCUCACUUCUGAUUUCUGUACAUCAUUUCCUUUUUUUUGGUCUAUAAAUCUUCUUCCACCACGUGGCUGCACUGGAGUCUCUGUGAAUCUGCUGUGAUUCUGGAGCUGCCCAAUUCACCAAUUGUUCAUUGCUCAAUUAAAUUCCUUUAAAUUUCAUUUGGCCAAAGUUUUUCUUUAAUCAGAUGGUGUCAGAAGCAGCAACUGAAGUAGAGCUUCUGGCGACCCCCAGGAGCACUGAGUGAACAAGCAAGGUACCUGCAGGACCCAUUUGUGUCCACUGAUGUCUCAGAGUAGCUGGGGAUCAUGACCUGAAUAGAGGAAGGAAAAGCAUGUGGAAGCUGGAUAGAGUGAAAGAACUUGUGCUUUGGGGCGAGAGAGUCUGUGUCCCAUCCUGGAUCAUUCCCUGACCACAUGGCCUUAGGUGGAGUUUCCCUGAACAAGCGCUCUCUUUGCCUGCCACCAUCCACGUAAGACGUGACUUGCUCCUCCUUGCCUUCUGCCAUGAUUGUGAGGCCUCUUCAGCCAUGUGGACACAGUAGUAAGGACACAUUCAUAACCACAUAAGCUGGUUCCUGAAUUGAAUGUUCAUCCAUGCCCUGUGAACAAGUUCCACCACAGUUAGAGGUGAAAUUAUUGGAGAAGUUUCCAUAAAUCUGAGUCACUGAAGGGAAAUAAUGUUACUUUGGUCCUUUGCUCCUCUUUAUGAUUAAAAAAAAUUGUAAGAAAAGCCUCGUUUUUGCCCUAAAUUCAAAGCAUGUUAUAACAGUUAUGUAUCUUGGCAAAACUGCCUUAUUUAAGUAACUACUUAUUCCAACUUUGAAACAAAUGUAGGCUAACAUGCUGUAGGUGUUACGUGUCUGUACUUAAGAGUCUCAUGAAAUAUAAAACCCAUUCACUAUUAAAUUUAAGUUUUAUUUGAGGUUUAUUUAACUUUUUUUCAAUGUGCAUGGAGUUUAUGAAAAGGAACUUUGUACAAACCAUUCAUUUAAUUGCUUUUGAUUGCUUUGUUGGUUCACCAUGUACCAGGCAUGACAGUGUUUUGUGUUAAGAAAGUACAGUAUUGAAACAGCAGAGAAACUAUUGUCAUAGUUUAAUACAGAACUUGUCAGGGCCAGUACACUGAUGUUCAUUAUUUCAUGCAGGUAUCCCUGAAAAUGCUUUUGAUUAAUUAUGUACUUUUUUGCACCAUUUGGUUCUUUCAGAAUGUACAUAUUUUUUCUCUUCAUUUGCCAGUUAAUUACUACAUUCUGUUGAGGGAAAUAGUUAGAACAACAUUUUUUAGUUUACAGUAACUUUUUUCAGAAACAUAAACUAUAGAAAUUCUUUAAUUUUCAGUACUAUACGUUUAAAAUUAUAAAGAGACAGUUACCAUUUUCUGUACCUAAGAGUUUGCUUAAGAGAACUCAAUUUAAAAACACUAUGUCAAGUAAGCAUCUAGCAUUGUAAUGAAUUCUAUAGAUACAUUUUUUCAAAGAUAAGAUUAGCUUAUCAGUUUUUUCUGACAAAGAUACUUAGAAAAAAAUACAAGAGAAAUUUAAAAAAUAAGAUUUUAAGAAUGUGUUAAACUGGGAGUUUGGUUAAGCUUUAUUUAAAGUUGUUACAUAAAUUUUAUCUUCCAUUGCUCUCCCUAUCUUUCUUAGUAUGAUUUUCUCUCAAUUGUGGAUACACUUGUAUAAAAUUCUAUAAAGCAAUUCACAUUGAGAUACUCUUGAUUGAAAUCACUAAAUAUUCGUUGAACAUCUCCCCACUGACCUAACACUGUGCUUGGGACUAUAAGAUUGCCUUCUUUAAUCUUCAGACUAUCCCCCAAAGUAUUGGCAUUAUCAGCACACUUGUCAAGAAUAGAGGAUCCCAGACCAACUAAAUUGUAAUCUUCAUGUUAACAUAAUUCUUGAGUGACUUGUAAGCACAUUGAAAUUUGAGACACAAUGGUCUAGAGCAGUGAUUCUUAAACUUUAAUCAGAUUCACCUGAGGGGUUUGUUAUGGGUCUAUACUUGAAGAAUCUCCGGUCUAAAGUGAUAAAAGAGGCCAAAAGUUAUCUUUGUCUUUAAUAAUUGUAUUAUAUAGCUGAGAAGAAAAUUUUUCACACAUCGAAUAAUUAGAGAGCAAUUGAAUGCUUAUCUGUGUGCCUUUGACUUUCUCUUUUGAGAAGGGGAAGAUUAAUGUGGUGUUAGCUUGUCAGGAAAAAUUCCAUUACCUGGGAAAGUUAUGGUACCACAGAUGGAAUUGAGAAAGGUGGAAAGUAUGGCAAAUUUUUAAGAGAAAAAGAUAUGUUUAAAGAGGCUGAUAGGCCAUCAAAGAAAGUGCAUACCAAUGGCAGCUGGAACUACAUGAGCCUAGCACAGCUAAAGCUAAGAUUAAAAGUCUGUAAGCAUCUUGAGGGCAGGAACCUUACCUUGUUCACUUUUCUAGUUUCAGUACUAAUGAUGUACCUGACACACAGUAGGUGUUUAAUGCUUUCUGUGGACUUAAUUAAUAAAUCAAUUUAGAUGUGAUCCUUAAAGCCAUACCUGUUAUAAAUAUUCUCACUCAGAUGCAUUUAAUGUGGUCUUGAAAGAAGACCACAGCCAUAACCAAAAGGCUUAACCCCAAAUCAGAAAUCUUUAAUAGUGGAUUUUCAGGUCCAAAAGUAGCCGGAAGAAAAGUACUUUUGGUAGAAGAUAUUUAAUUUAUGACACAGCCUAUAAUGAUGCUAGUAUACAGGAAACUAUAUAUAUAUGCAUUCUAGUUGGUUUUUGAAAAUUGCUUGUUAUUCGUUAUCUUAGAAAAAAUAUUGUUAGCAAUCUUAAAUA
rnacentral:lncRNA from 1 species